rnacentral:rRNA from 1 species
CGCCACGCCCGCUCAGAAACUCAAAGGAAUUGACGGGGGCCCGCACAAGCGGUGGAGCAUGUGGUUAAUUCGAAGCAACGCGAAGAACCUUACCAGGCCUUGACAUGCAGAGAACUUUCCAGAGAUGGAUUGGUGCCUUCGGGAACUCUGACACAGGUGCUGCGUGGCUGUCGUCAGCUCGUGUCGUGAGAUGUUGGGUUAAGUCCCGUAACGAGCGCAACCCUUGUCCUUAGUUACCAGCACGUUAUGGUGGGCACUCUAAGGAGACUGCCGGUGACAAACCGGAGGAAGGUGGGGAUGACGUCAAGUCAUCAUGGCCCUUACGGCCUGGGCUACACACGUGCUACAAUGGUCGGUACAAAGGGUUGCCAAGCCGCGAGGUGGAGCUAAUCCCAUAAAACCGAUCGUAGUCCGGAUCGCAGUCUGCAACUCGACUGCGUGAAGUCGGAAUCGCUAGUAAUCGCGCAUCAGCCAUGGCGCGGUGAAUACGUUCCCGGGCCUU